rnacentral:rRNA from 1 species
UUAGUUAAGUGAAGAAGGGCGCACGGUGGAUGCCUUGGCACUAGGAGCCGAUGAAGGACGGGACUAACACCG